rnacentral:rRNA from 1 species
UACGUAGGGUGCAAGCGUUGUCCGGAAUUAUUGGGCGUAAAGAGCUCGUAGGCGGUCUGUCGCGUCGGCUGUGAAAACUCGGGGCUCAACUCCGAGCUUGCAGUCGAUACGGGCAGGCUAGAGUUCGGCAGGGGAGACUGGAAUUCCUGGUGUAGCGGUGAAAUGCGCAGAUAUCAGGAGGAACACCGGUGGCGAAGGCGGGUCUCUGGGCAUGUCCUGACGCUGAGGAGCGAAAGUGUGGGGAGCGAACAGG